AGGGCUUGACAUAUACAGGAAUGUUGUAGAGAUACAGCAGCCGCUUGCGGUCUGUAUACAGGUGCUGCAUGGCUGUCGUCAGCUCGUGCUGUGAAGUGUGGGUUAAGUCCCGCAACGAGCGCAACCCUAUCAUCUGUUGCCAGCAUUUAAGGUGGGGACUCAGAUGAGACUGCCGGUGACAAACCGGAGGAAGGUGGGGACGACGUCAAGUCAUCAUGGCCCUUAUGUCCUGGGCUACACACGUGCUACAAUGGCCGGUACAGAGUGAAGCGAAACCGCGAGGUGAAGCAAAACGCAGAAAGCCGGUCUCAGUACGGAUUGGGGUCUGAAACUCGACUUCAUGAAGUUGGAAUCGCUAGUAAUCGCGCAUCAGCAUGGCGCGGUGAAUACGUUCCCGGGCCUU
rnacentral:rRNA from 1 species